UGUAACUCUAGUGUAUAUUAGUUUGUCUGUUGUAAAUCCUGCCCACUUCUUUGCAUUGUCACACAUGCUUCAGUGCUCUGAGAGUGUUUAUAGUGCUGUGAGUUUAACACUUCAUGACUGAGAGCAGAACAGAACACAAUCUUCAUCAUCACACAAGACAAAAGAACAACAAUGAACAAAAUCACCUUCUUCAUCUGGACUCUCACACUGUUUGCUCAAGAAUCCAGAGGAGUGACUCUGACUCAACCUGAAGUUAAAACUGUCCAACAGGGUCAAACAGCUACAAUAGAGUGUCAUAUAGAUGUAGGAAUAUACAGUGAUCGUUUAGCCUGGUAUCAGCAGAAACCUGGAGAAGCUCCUAAACUCCUGAUUUAUUAUAUAAACAGCCUCCAGUCAGGAACUCCAUCUAGAUUCAGUGGCAGUGGAACAGCAAAUACUGGACGAGAUUUCACUCUGACCAUCAGUGGAGUCCAGACUGAAGAUACAGGAGAUUAUUACUGUCUGAGUUUACACAGCAUCAACAGUAACUGGGUGUUCACACAGUGAUAAAGAGUGGUACAAAAACCUCGGUCAGUCAGACGUCACAGUGAUGCACUGAUACAGCUGAGAGAUACUGCAGCUGCUGAUGGAGGAUCACAAACAAUAGUGUAUUCAACCUUUCAAAGACUUUAUUUAUUAUGACACAUUCAUAUGUUUUAUCCAUUACUAACUGAACAAAUAUGUGUGGUGCUUGUUCCAUCAAAACUUUUGUUCCAUCAAAACCACUACAGUGUCAUCUAAGGCCAUUUCCAUGUCUGGCUCAUUUGUAGCAUUAAGUUUAAGUUUAAAGGAAAACAAAUACAUUGUGACACGUACAGUUGU